rnacentral:pre_miRNA from 1 species
GAGACACCCUUCUGGGGCAGGACUUGCUUCCGUGGGGCUUUGGUGCUCACUGAGUCUGCCCCCUGAGUGUGUCCCU